GAACAUAGAUAAAAAACAGUACAUGACCACAUUGACUUUUGCAGUUAUAUGCAGAAAUUCUACAGCUAGUACAUGACCAAGGUGCUUGUGCGUUGUGUGCGAGUAAUUCUACAGUUUGUUUAACAGAGUGAUUGCCGCUGGGACAAAACUGUUUUUUUGUCUUGUAGUUCUGCAA